rnacentral:rRNA from 1 species
UACGGAGGGAGCUAGCGUUAUUCGGAAUUACUGGGCGUAAAGCGCACGUAGGCGGCUUUGUAAGUUAGAGGUGAAAAGCCUGGAGCUCAACUCCAGAAUUGCCUUUAAGACUGCAUCGCUUGAAUCCAGGAGAGGUGAGUGGAAUUCCGAGUGUAGAGGUGAAAUUCGUAGAUAUUCGGAAGAACACCAGUGGCGAAGGCGGCUCACUGGACUGGUAUUGACGCUGAGGUGGCGAAAGCGUGGGGAGCAAACAGG